rnacentral:misc_RNA from 1 species
AGAAGAGGCAUACCUUUUACUUCAUAAUCAGAUUGAUUCAUUUUAAUCCAUUUUGCAGAUAAAGCAACCAAAAGAAGACAACCAGUUUGUGACGAGAGACCGCAGAUGUACCCAAUCCAUAAACCCUUAGCAUAUAAUCUAAGCUUAAACCCGAGAAGGAUCGAUAUCGUUACACCGACAAAGUAGAAUGUGGACAAGUUUAUGUAUACAGCCAAGUGCUGCCAACCAUAGCCUCUAG